AACGCAUAUUGCGCCGCGCGGUAUUCCGCGCGGCACGUCCGACCGAGCGCCGCUGCAACGCUCGCAGGCCUCCCCUACAGGGAGGGCCCGCGGUGCUGGGGAGACCGGGGCGACCCGGCCCCCCGAAACACAGCGGCGGCCGAAGCGGCGAGCCCGGCGUAGUAGACAAAACCUCGCCUGGGGGACCCGCGGCGGCCCGCCACGACGGGCGCUGCUCGAACAACCACAAGAGUUGGCCUCGGGUCGGACGAGGUUACCCGCUGAACUUAA
rnacentral:misc_RNA from 1 species